rnacentral:tRNA from 1 species
GGUGAGAUGGCCGAGUUGGUUAUGGCGUAGGAUUAAGGUGUUCUCUUCAUCUAAAUUCCUAUGGAGCAAUCCGCGUGGGUUCAAGUCCCACUCUCAUCA